GCCAUUUCCCUCACUAUUAUACUAUUAAUGUUUUGAAAGUUUUGCAAAAAAAGGUAUUUUUAACUUGUUUUAUGUGUCAAAUCAUUAAUUACGUCUCAGCUGAGAAUUAAAAAAAUAAGUACUGUGUUACAAAGGUAAAAGCAGGAGGGCAAGUAUGACAGGUUUCUGUCAUGUCAAUUUUCGCUCUAUUGAUAUUACUGUAAGUUAUGUGAAAACCCCACCUCCUAAAAAUCAAUAUAAAUACUGACAGUAUCUGUCAUUUGUUUCAAAAACUGCAAGAGGUUGUUUAAAUCAUUGUAUUUGGAAUCGUCACAAUCUCCGUUUGGAAAAUCUGAACACAUUGCGAAAACACAAAAAAAUGGGGAAACCUGCCCCAUUAUAUGUGUUAGCAGCACUGCUGUCUCUUCUUGCCAGUAAAGUGACUGACGCACAAGGUAAUGACAAGAUAAUAAUUUGUGGUAUUUGCGAAGCAAAGCAUCACAUUUAUUAUCAUUUCACUUUCUUGUUCUUCUUCCUCUAUACAAAUUUUCUGAGCGAUAGUAUCUCUAGAUACGAUUUUUCUAGAGAAUUAGGACCUACUAAUUUCCAAGCCAUGCCACAGAGUAAUGAAAGGUAACGUGUGAAAGGGACAGUGCUUAGAGGUAGCCAUGGCCACCACUGACUGAAGCUUGACCAUCACUUUAUGGUCACCUCACUCACAGUUGCUGCUUCUAUCUUUUUUACUUGACCAAAAUUUAGUUAAUUUGGAGGCAGAAGUCUCUUUAACAACACAUCAAAUUUUCAGGUUCACACA
ensembl:lncRNA